rnacentral:rRNA from 1 species
UACAGAGGGUGCAAGCGUUAAUCGGAAUUACUGGGCGUAAAGCGUGCGUAGACGGUUAUGUAAGUCAGGUGUGAAAGCCCAGGGCUCAACCUUGGAAUUGCAUUUGAGACUGCAUAGCUAGGGUGCGGAAGAGGGAAGCGGAAUUUCCGGUGUAGCGGUGAAAUGCGUAGAGAUCUGGAGGAACACCAAAGGCGAAGGCAGUGUCCUGGGAGGCACCUGACGCUCAGGCGCGAAAGCCAGGGGAGCGAACGGG